ensembl:snoRNA SNORD116 Small nucleolar RNA SNORD116
GGGUUGAUGAUGACUCCUGCAAAUACAAUCCUUGGAAGCCGAACAAAAUGAGUGAAAACCCCAUACAGUCAUUCUCAUCGUGACUGAGGUCC